UACGUAGGGUGCGAGCGUUAAUCGGAAUUACUGGGCGUAAAGCGUGCGCAGGCGGUUUUGUAAGCCAGAUGUGAAAGCCCCGGGCUUAACCUGGGAAUGGCAUUUGGGACUGCAAGGCUUGAGUGCGGCAGAGGAGACUGGAAUUCCUGGUGUAGCGGUGGAAUGCGCAGAUAUCAGGAGGAACACCAAUAGCGAAGGCAGCUCGCUGGGACGGUACUGACGCUAAGACGCGAAAGCGUGGGGAGCGAACAGG
rnacentral:rRNA from 1 species